rnacentral:lncRNA from 1 species
CGGCCGCGUUCGCACCCCAGGGUCUCACCGGCAAGGGAAGGAUAAUGUAGCGGGGACUCAUCUCUCGAGAAGGAGUUCCUUGGGGCCCCAGUGGGGCCCUCGGUGAGCACCCCAAACAGCCAGCACUCUUCACCCAGCCGCUCGCUCAGUGCCAACUCCAUCAAGGUGGAGAUGUACAGCGAUGAGGAGUCGAGCAGACUGCUGGGGCCGGAUGAACGGCUCCUGGGCCCUGUUAUGAUCACAAUGGCAGGGAGAAAGGGACGUCUCUUUUCUCUCUGCCAACUUUCAGUAUAACCAAAAAAUUGUCCCAGGAUGAAUGACAGGUGUGUGCCCGUCAACCCUUCUACCGUGUCCUAGCAAAAAUGGGACGGACGCAACUGGGAGUCACCCCCACUGCCCUUCCACAUCUAGCUCCGACACAUGGCAGGAGAGGCAGUCUUCUCUGGUGGUCGCAGAGACUCUGGCUAUUCAGAUAUGGAGGAUUCGUGAGACCAUGCAGGAGGAGGCAUAACUCCAUUGCUGUGGAAGUCUCUCUAUAGUUCCCUGCCAAGGCCACAACCAUCCCACUCUCGGCUUCUCUGAGAUUCAAACCAAAGGCUGUUUUUCUAUAUUUAAAGAAAACAAGAAAAG